UACGAAGGGGGCUAGCGUUGCUCGGAAUCACUGGGCGUAAAGCGCACGUAGGCGGAUUGCUAAGUCAGGGGUGAAAUCCUGGAGCUCAACUCCAGAACUGCCUUUGAUACUGGCGAUCUUGAGUCCGGGAGAGGUGAGUGGAACUGCGAGUGUAGAGGUGAAAUUCGUAGAUAUUCGCAAGAACACCAGUGGCGAAGGCGGCUCACUGGCCCGGUACUGACGCUGAGACGCGAAAGCGUGGGGAGCAACAGGG
rnacentral:rRNA from 1 species